AGUGAACGCUGGCGGCGUGCUUAACACAUGCAAGUCGAACGAGAACGGAUUAUAGCUUGCUAUAAUUGUCAGCUAAGUGGCGCACGGGUGAGUAAUGUAUAGGUAAUAUGCCUCUUACUAAGGGAUAACAAAUGGAAACGUUUGCUAAUACCUUAUACUCCUUAUUAACAGAAGUUAAUAAGGGAAAGAUUUAUUGGUAAGAGAUUAGCCUGUAUUGUAUCAGUUAGUUGGUGGGGUAAUGGCUUACCAAAACUAUGACACAUAACUGGUUUGAGAGGAUGAGCAGGCACACUGGAACUGAGACACGGUCCAGACUCCUACGGGAGGCAGCAGUGGGGAAUAUUGCACAAUGGACGAAAGUCUGAUGCAGCAACGCCGCGUGGAGGAUGACACAUUUCGGUGCGUAAACUCCUUUUAUAUGAGAAGAUAAUGACGGUAUUAUAUGAAUAAGCACCGGCUAACUCCGUGCCAGCAGCCGCGGUAA
rnacentral:rRNA from 1 species